rnacentral:rRNA from 1 species
UACGGGGGGGGCAAGCGUUGUUCGGAAUUACUGGGCGUAAAGGGUUUGUAGGUGGUCUGUUAAGUCAGACGUGAAAUCCCUCAGCUUAACUGGGGAACUGCGUCUGAGACUGAUGGACUUGAGGGCAGGAGAGGAACGCGGAAUUCCAGGUGUAGCGGUGAAAUGCGUAGAUAUCUGGAGGAACACCGGUGGCGAAGGCGACAUCCUGGACCGGUAUUGACGCUGAGGCGCGAAAGCCAGGGGAGCAAACGGG